rnacentral:rRNA from 1 species
UCACGACCUGAGAGUAGGCAAGACUACCCGCCAAAUUUAAGCAUAUUAAUAAGCGGAGGAAAAGAAAAUAACCAUGAUGGCCUUAGUAAUGGCGAAUGAAACGGCCAGAGCCCAGCACCGAACCGCCGGCCAUCUCGGUCGCGUGGAAUGUGGUGUUUGGGAGAGCCUCAUCGCAGUGAGCCGAUGCGUUCAAGUACACCUUGACUGGGACCACGGCCCGUAGAGGGUGAUAGGCCCGUAAGACUGUUGGCUCGCUGCGCUGCUUUUCCCUAGAGUCGAGUUGUUUGGGAGUACAGCUCAAAGUGCGUGGUAAACUCCACGUAAGGCUAAAUAUGACCCCGAGACCGAUAGCGAACAAGUACCGUGAGGGAAAGUUGAAAAGCACUUUGAAGAGAGAGUUCAAGAGUACGUGAAACUGUAUAGUAGUAAACGGAGGGGUUCUCGAAGUCGGCGGUGACGGUUCAGGGUGACGGCGGGGCAGCCUCUGGCUCUGAGAUCUGCAAAGACUCGGGUUGGUUGUUGGCUUCGUCGGCGUCUGCACUCCGUUGCCGCCUCACGCAACGAACCGUUGUUGGCGAGCCGAGGGCGUGGGUGAAGUUUGGGGGCUCUUGUAGUGCCCAAGCCCUGCGUUCCUGGCCUUGUCGGCGACGGGUACUGGAGCGGUCUCGUAUAGCGAGUGUCCUCGUUGGCACGGGCCGCAUCUCUGUUGCGAGUAGGUCGGCGACCCCUCCGACCCGUCUUGAAACACGGACCAAGGAGUCUAA